rnacentral:rRNA from 2 species
GGCAGGCAUCAGUAUGCUAUAAUGCAGUCGAGCGGAAGAUGGGAGCUUGCUCCCUGAUGUUAGCGGCGGACGGGUGAGUAACACGUGGGUAACCUGCCUGUAAGACUGGGAUAACUCCGGGAAACCGGGGCUAAUACCGGAUGGUUGUUUGAACCGCAUGGUUCAGACAUAAAAGGUGGCUUCGGCUACCACUUACAGAUGGACCCGCGGCGCAUUAGCUAGUUGGUGAGGUAACGGCUCACCAAGGCGACGAUGCGUAGCCGACCUGAGAGGGUGAUCGGCCACACUGGGACUGAGACACGGCCCAGACUCCUACGGGAGGCAGCAGUAGGGAAUCUUCCGCAAUGGACGAAAGUCUGACGGAGCAACGCCGCGUGAGUGAUGAAGGUUUUCGGAUCGUAAAGCUCUGUUGUUAGGGAAGAACAAGUGCCGUUCAAAUAGGGCGGCACCUUGACGGUACCUAACCAGAAAGCCACGGCUAACUACGUGCCAGCAGCCGCGGUAAUACGUAGGGGGCAAGCGUUGUCCGGAAUUAUUGGGCUUAAAGGGCUCGGAGGCGGUUUCUUGAGUCGAAUGUGAACUCCCCCCCCGCUCAACCGGUGGAAAGUCAUUUGAAAAUACGGUGCAAUCUUGAAGUGAAGU